UGAGGGGUCCAGGCAGAGUAGGAAGGAAAGGAUAGGGGAGCUCCGGCUGGAAAUUUAACCCUAUGCAACUAGGCAUUUGGAACGACAUCUAUUAAAUGUAGAUGAGGAGGGAGCGUGCCAUUGAUGAAAGAUGAGAACAUGGUCAAUGCGCGGCCUGGUUGAUAGCUUGGAACGAAAUGUCCUGCUCCUCUUACUGUCACAAAUGUCAAGUUCUGGAUAAGAUCAGCUGAGCAAGUUGAGGCACAUAGUGGCCAGCAUAACUCUCUCCAGUAAUAUAGAAAUCUCGGUGUUUAUAUUCUGGGAAUCUUUCCAUCCAAUUGACGAGAAAGAUUUUGCAGAAGAGAUAUGUAUAAGUACCAUUGUUCCAGGCAAAAGGGUUGAGCCACAAGGUUUUUCCAUCUUUAUUUACGCGGAAUGGUCCAAGUUCCAUCAUCGCUCCAGCCCCAAAUGAAGAGCAACCAGGUCCUGUAUAU